rnacentral:pre_miRNA from 1 species
AUAAGAAUCACCUGGGGAUCUUGCUAAAAUGUAAAUUCGGAUUGAAUAAGUCUGAAUCUAGGGUGGGACCUGAUUCUUCAUUUCUAACAAACUUCCAGGACAUACCUGU